rnacentral:tRNA from 1 species
GCCGGUGUGGUGAAAUUGGUAUACACGACGGAUUCAAAAUCCGUUGCCUUCGGGCGUGGCAGUUCAAGUCCGCCCACCGGUACCA